ACGGAGGGUGCGAGCGUUAAUCGGAAUUAAUGGGCGUAAAGCGCAUGCAGGUGGUUCAUUAAGUCAGAUGUGAAAGCCCGGGGCUCAACCUCGGAACCGCAUUUGAAACUGGUGAACUAGAGUGCUGUAGAGGGGGGUAGAAUUUCAGGUGUAGCGGUGAAAUGCGUAGAGAUCUGAAGGAAUACCAGUGGCGAAGGCGGCCCCCUGGACAGACACUGACACUCAGAUGCGAAAGCGUGGGGAGCAAACAGG
rnacentral:rRNA from 1 species